AAGGUAGCAUAAUCAUUAGUUUUUUAAUUGAAAGCUGGUAUGAAAGGUUGGAUGAAAAAAUAGCUGUCUCUGUUUAAAUUUAUUAGAAUUUUAUUUUUAAGUAAAAAAGCUUAAAUAUUUAUUGAAGACGAGAAGACCCYAUAGAGUUUUAUAAAUUUAAUUAUUGAAAAUUUUAGGAUUUUAAAAGUUAAUAGUUAAAUUUAUUUAGUUGGGGUGAUUGAAAAAUUUAUUGAACYUUUUUUUUAUAGAAACMUAGAUUUAUGAGUAGUUGAUCCUUUUAUUAAGAUUAAAAGAUAAAAUUAC
rnacentral:rRNA from 1 species